CAGUAGCCGCGGUAAUACGAAGGGCGCAAGCGUUACUCGGAAUUACUGGGCGUGAAGCGUGCGUAGGUGGUGGUUUAAGUCCGUUGUGAAAGCCCUGGGCUCAACCUGGGAAUUGCAGUGGAUACUGGGUCACUAGAGUGUGGUAGAGGAUAGUGGAAUUUCCGGUAUAGCAGUGAAAUGCGUAGAGAUCGGAAGGAACAUCUGUGGCGAAGGCGACUAUCUGGGCCAACACUGACACUGAGGCACGAAAGCGUGGGGAGCAAACAGGAUUAGAUACCCCUGUAGUCCCUGUCUCUUAUAA
rnacentral:rRNA from 1 species